rnacentral:rRNA from 1 species
UGACGGUACCUGACUAAGAAGCCCCGGCUAACUACGUGCCAGCAGCCGCGGUAAUACGUAGGGGGCAAGCGUUAUCCGGAUUUACUGGGUGUAAAGGGAGCGUAGACGGCAAGGUAAGUCUGAAGUGAAAUGCCGGGGCUCAACCCCGGAACUGCUUUGGAAACUAUCUCGCUCGAGUACCGGAGGGGUAAGCGGAAUUCCUAGUGUAGCGGUGAAAUGCGUAGAUAUUAGGAGGAACACCAGUGGCGAAGGCGGCUUACUGGACGGUAAAUGACGCUCAGGCUCGAAAGCGUGGGGAGCAAACAGGAUUAGAUACCCUG